AAUAGAUACCCGGGUAGUCCACCCCGUAAACGUUGGGAACUAGUUGUGGGACCAUUCCACGGUUUCCGUGACGCAGCUAACGCAUUAAGUUCCCCGGCCUGGGGGAGUACGGCCGCAAGGCUAAAACUCAAAGGAAUUGACGGGGACCCGCACAAGCGGCGGAGCAUGCGGAUUAAUUCGAUGCAACGCGAAGAACCUUACCAAGGCUUGACAUACACCAGAACACCGUAGAAAUACGGGACUCUUUGGACACUGGUGAACAGGUGGUGCAUGGUUGUCGUCAGCUCGUGUCGUGAGAUGUUGGGUUAAGUCCCGCAACGAGCGCAACCCUCGUUCUAUGUUGCCAGCACGUAAUGGUGGGAACUCAUGGGAUACUGCCGGGGUCAACUCGGAGGAAGGUGGGGAUGACGUCAAAUCAUCAUGCCCCUUAUGUCUUGGGCUUCACGCAUGCUACAAUGGCCGGUACAAAGGGCUGCAAUACCGUGAGGUGGAGCGAAUCCCAAAAAGCCGGUCCCAGUUCGGAUUGAGGUCUGCAACUCGACCUCA
rnacentral:rRNA from 1 species